AUUUUAAAUCAGCAAAUUGUCUGUGGUAUUGAGUAUUUGCGCAGAGAGUUAAUUGAAGAGAGUGAGGUUAGGUGCAGACAACGAAGAUGGCAACAACAAGUAGUAAUUCAAACAUGAACUGUAUAGCACCAGGCGGUAUGAAUUGGCUCCAAAAAAAUCCCUUGGUAAGCUACCAUCGGCUGACCAAGGACCCACAAGCUUUGAAGAAGUGGCCCCAUGUCCUGAAGAGGAAUGACGUGCCAGCUGGAGCUAGCAGGAUCUGCAGACUUCGCGAUGAAGGGCACUUUCGAUGCGGCAACCCGGAGUUUCCGAAUGGAAAGGAGUCAUUGGCAUACGUUGAAGCUUGCGCCUCUAUUUUACAUUUCGAGGGUUAUGGUGUCGGGGUCACCGACCAUCAUCAACAUCGCUGCGGUCAUGACUGUUGUUGACUAGGCUAGCGUUAGACACUGGACAACUUUGUUGCAACUGAAGGUUUUCAUCCUGGAGGAGACUGUGCAGGAGGCAGAGGAGGAAAGAACGGUUAGUACAGCAUGCCAAAGUGACCCCUGGGUACCAGUGGUCCUGUGCUGCGGUGGAGAAGAGGUCCACCAGGACCAUCACUAAAGAGCUCAUGACCAUCAGUAUAUAACCGAGUCCUGCCCCUAUACGCCACAGAUGGAGCAGACGGAGAGUGAGAUCAGUGAAGACCAGAACUCACUGUAUGAACCUGAGAGCUCAGAAUCACAAUCACCACAGUACGAGCCAAGAUAUACGAUCACUUUGGGGGAGCGGGCUGAUGUUCCGAAAAUGGGGAAGGAGCAGGCCAUACAACAGCGAAUUCAAAGAUACACCCAUCCAUAAAGGGAAUCGGAGUGGAAUUGUUUUUCCACUGAUUUUUUUUACCUAUUUCAACAGACAUGCUACCUUGUCCCGGUCCUGCUGUUUUGACUCUCUCUCUCAACCUAUGAAUGCUCAGCUAUGAAAAGCCAUUUGCUCCUGAGAUGCUGAGCUGUUGCACCCUAUAUAACCACUGUGGUUAUUAUUUUCAUGUAAAAAGGGCUUUUGUAAAAUACAUUUGAUUGAUUGAUUGGUUGUUUGCUGUGCUGGAUGCUGUGUAUUCACUGUCUGAGUGAUGGGACAUUUUUAUAGUAUCAGUAACAUAUUUUUGUGUGUAUUUAAUCUGCAUCUUAACUUCUUAAAGUGGCAAUCUGCAGUAGAAGCAAUAACAAAGUGUCUCCCUGUUCCUCUUUCAGUAAAAAGCUAAGGGAUGGGGCUGGAGAAAUGUAGCUACUCUCAAAUUCAUAGACAGAGCUAUAGAUGCAAGGACUGACCAUCCAUGAUAUCAAAAUUGUAAUCCUGUUUCUGUGAUC